rnacentral:rRNA from 1 species
AUGGCAUACAGUCUCGCGCACACUAGCACCGACCAAGGCAGUAGCAGUAAUUCACAGAAAAGGGACAAAAAUAUUUGGAAGCUAAUCUGGAAUGCAAAUGUGCCAAGUAAGGUGAUGAUAUUUGGGUGGAGGCUUGCUUUGGGUAAUUUGGCAAGAAAAAGAAAUAAAUGGAAGAGGACCCUGGAACAUGAUAACAUCUAUAACAUUUGCGGCAAUGGGGUUGAGGACAGCUACCACGCAAUAGUGACCUGCACAAAAUCAAGGGCACUUAGAGCAGAGAUUAGAGGAGAAUGGUAUCUCCUGGCUGAAGAAAAGUUUCAGUUCUCAGGGCUACUAGCUGCAAAAUCUGCUGGCUAUGAUCACUCCAGAGUAGCGGAGUAUGGUCCUGAUGCUUUUCUGGCGAGCUUGGCACUUGCUAAUAAUAUAGUGGAUGGAGAGGGGUGA